rnacentral:rRNA from 1 species
UACGUAGGGUGCAAGCGUUAAUCGGAAUUACUGGGCGUAAAGCGUGCGCAGGCGGUGAUGUAAGACAGAUGUGAAAUCCCGGGCUCACUGGGACUGCAUUUGUGACUGCAUCGCUGGGAGUGCGGGCAGAGGGAUGGGAAAUUUCCGCGUGUAGCAGUGAAAUGCGUAGAUAUGCGGGAGGGAAACACCCGAUGGGCGAAAGGGCAAAUCCCUGGGCCCUGCACUGGGCGCUCAUGCACGAAAGCCGUGGGGAGCAAAACAGGGGAAU